rnacentral:rRNA from 1 species
AGUGGCGGACGGGUGAGUAACGCGUGGGUAACCUGCCUCAUACAGGGGGAUAACAGCUGGAAACGGCUGCUAAAACCGCAUAAGCAUACAUUGUCGCAUGACAGAGUGUGAAAAUAUUUAUAGGUAUGAGAUGGGCCCGCGUCUGAUUAGCUAGUUGGUAAGGUAACGGCUUACCAAGGCGACGAUCAGUAGCCGGCUUGAGAGAGUGACCGGCCACAUUGGGACUGAGACACGGCCCAAACUCCUACGGGAGGCAGCAGUGGGGAAUAUUGCACAAUGGGCGAAAGCCUGAUGCAGCGACGCCGCGUGAGUGAAGAAGUAUUUCGGUAUGUAAAGCUCUAUCAGCAGGGAAGAAAAUGACGGUACCUGACUAAGAAGCCCCGGCUAACUACGUGCCAGCAGCCGCGGUAAUACGUAGGGGGCAAGCGUUAUCCGGAUUUACUGGGUGUAAAGGGAGCGUAGGUGGUUUGGUAAGUCAGAUGUGAAAGCCCGGGGCUCAACCCCGGGAUUGCAUUUGAAACUACUAGACUAGAGUGCAGGAGAGGUAAGUGGAAUUCCUAGUGUAGCGGUGAAAUGCGUAGAUAUUAGGAGGAACACCAGUGGCGAAGGCGGCUUACUGGACUGUAACUGACACUGAGGCUCGAAAGCGUGGGGAGCAAAC